UCGAAGUAGUUGGCACGAGUCGGGGGACACCGUAGGCGGCGGGCGAUGGCCGGAAUGAUGGGGCGUAAAGGGCUCGUAGGCGGCCGGUCGCGUCUGCUGUGACAUCCCGGGGCUUAACCCCGGGCGGGUAGUGGAUACGGGGUGGCUGGAGGCAGGCAUGGGAGAAUGGAAUUCCCGGUGUAGCGGUGAAAUGCGCAGAUAUCGGGAGGAACACCGGUGGCGAAGGCGGUUCUCUGGGCCUGUGCUGACGCUGAGGAGCGAAAGCGUGGGGAGCGAACAGGAUUAGAUACCCGGGUAGUC
rnacentral:rRNA from 1 species